AUAGUGUAUAGGGAUGUAUAGAUCAAGUGAAAUUGAAACAUAUCGAAGAGAAGAAAAUUUGCACAAGAGUGCAAAUUCACUGUCACGGUCAACUGUCAACUGUCAGUUGUCGGUUGAUAUGUCUUGUUUCUUAAGUGAAAAAAGUGGACUGAUAAGUUUGACGCCGAUUCUGCCAGAGAUAACUUUCCAUUUAAUAGGAAUGCCAAUAGGGACGACUAUUUUAAAUCCACACUUGACAAUUUGGCAAAACGUCAUCCGGAAUUAGCCGAGCAUUUUCAAGAUAUAAAUCAGCGUCCCAGGUCCAGAAGUAGACCGGCAGAGGAGCUUAAAAGUCGAUUUAGAAGACCUUUCGGUGACAAGUUUCCGUUUGAUGACGAAGACGAUUUCGAUAUAGACCCUUCAAAAUACACUCAACAUUUUUAUC
rnacentral:misc_RNA from 1 species